UGCUAUAUUAUAUUAUAAAUAGAAUACUACCAAAAAAUACUACCACAGGGAAAUUAAAAUUUAGGUGUUAAAAGUUGUUUAGCACAAACAUUGAUAGAACUUGCAACUAAGUAUACCUAAAUCACGCCACACUUGCUUUGCUUUACUGAUUAAUUGAUUUUAGACAUAAGACAUUAUACUUUGUCUUGUUCUUGCGUAGACAUACAACUUAUUUUUCUACAUUAUCAAGUUCGAAGUCUAAACACGUGAUUCGUUUGGCGCAUCUGCAACUAUUUACCGACGGCAUUUGUACGUGGGAAAAGAAGUAUGAAACGCUAGCUUAAGUAACAAAGUUUUAAUCGUGACACCAUUGAAGUUACCGUUAGUUUUUAUUAUUAUUUUACUAUAAUUAAAAUUAUAAUUUUAAUAAAACCUCUUUUUAUCAAUAAAUUAAUUGGCAUUCAAAUAUAGACAAUAAUAACACGCCAUUUACAAAACCGAAUUAAAAAUAAUAUGUUCCUUAUUUAAAUCGUUGUCCGAGUACUACAAACUAUUUAGGCAUUCGUAUAAAAUUAAAGUCCUGCAAUAUAAUUACGCGGGAAUUUCAAUUACGGAACAAAAACUUCUAAUCGUUAUAACCGACAUAAAAGAACACAUUAAAUGGUCCGGAAGUAAUCGAUCUUGGAGCUGUAUACAUACAACCUAUUUACUUUUCCAUUUACCUAAUACUUGACUACCUACAGGCUAAACGUUAUAAAGUAAGGAUGCUAUACGAAACUUUGUAUUUAUAUUUUUUGAUUAGCUGUAUUCUUCUUUUAGUUAUAUUAUACAUACGGAGGAAGCGUAAUCCUGUUCUCGUUUGAUCAAAAUGUAAACGAAUUAUCAUUAAAAUUAAUUUCCAUAGGAA